UUGGAUAGGUGUGUUACAUUUCGCGCUGUAUUUUAAAAAUUUUUGGGCCCCUCGACAAGGAUUUCGACCGAACAGGGAUUUUCGAAAUACAUCAGAUUACCUACGGUUUUCUACCAGCGCAUCUUUUACAAAAUUUGCGAACAAAGCUGAGCGAAGAAACUCUGAAUCGAAUUCGAUAAGAAACGUCGAAAGCAAACAGCGAUCUGCAGUUGAAAGGUGGAAUUAGUUGCCGCGUUUGGCAUUUAUCAUAACUGAUUGUAAGUAGGAAUAGGUCCGCGCCCCUGUGACCCUAUACAGAAGGCGUCGCUGUCCUUAAUGCAGAAAAACUUGGUAAAAUGUAUGUUCAGGUCUUUGAGUUAUUUAUUUAUUUUUUAACUUUAAUUGCUUUUCUUUAAAUAAACACUUGCUUUUUUGACAUGAUGCUACAGCUUCAAGAAUAUUUGUCCGUAAAGUGUGAGAUUUGUUAAUCAAAAUUUAUUUUUCUUUUAAUAGGAUUAGGUAUAAAUGAGAUCAACUAGAUCCCACUACAACUAAUAGCAGGUAUUUGUAAACCAUUGCUAAAAUAUAGUAGUCUAAAAUUUAUAUUUGAUUUGGAGUAUAGGUAGUUUUGGACAAAAGGCUUAUUUUUUGGGAUGGGUUAAAAAGUUAUUUCUGACACGCCAGUUUUCAUCUAGUUAGCGAUAAAAUUGUUAAAAAUGUUAAUGGUCCAGAUCUGUACUAUUUCGGGAUGGUUCAAAUAGGGCGUGUAUGGUUUCAAAUUUAGUAGAUGUAGUAAUAGUUUAUUAUAACUGAGUCAUUAGCCGUUUAAAUUGUGGCAACCUUUUAAUCAGCGAAAACGAAUUCUCACUAAAAUAGCGACUAGUCUUAGGACUGACGAGUCUAUAAUGAUGAUUCCAAAAAUGUAUCAUCCAUUUCUAAAAUUAAUACUCGGUUUCCGGCCAAGUUUAUCCAACUUUACAAAUUAGCAAGAAUCCAAGCAUUUCGACUGUUUUUUUGUUUUGUAUAUGUAGGUAUUCCGAAUUUCAAAAGAACAUUUUUCUCGGUAAGCAUAGGCGACCAGCGACAUUAAUCGUAAGUUGCACAGUUUGUUCGCGACUGAUUUCGGUCUGUCUCUGUCUCGUCGUCUUCGUGAACCUCCUCGAUCUUCAAAUGUGCGUGAACUUUCUAAACAAAGUCGCGCUGGAAUUUGUGACUGCGGUUUACCUUCAUCGUUGACGCCGCGUUUUGCCUCACUCGCUGUUACAGACGACGCCACCGUCGCCGCCGCCGCCGCGGCAUCGCGCCGUUGAUCAACAUUAUUUUUCAGAGAAAGUUCUGAAUGAAUAUAGAGGUACCCGGCGAACUGUCAGCGUUGAAUCGCUUCGUGAAUGAAUGCUUCACCUACUACCUAUCUACCUACCUACCUACCUACCGACCGACCAGAGCCAACAACUAUCUACCGUGUCCGUCUUCUGUUUUGCGCGAGUCCUCGCGGUGUGUCUCGCGCUCGGUUUAUUCAUUCCGCGUUCAUCGAGAUGCAAACAGCGCGAUCCGCGACUCGCGACUCGUCAGUCCGCGAAUGUCCGUCCGAGAUAUUCACAACAAACGAAGUGUAGUGACUUUGUACUUGCAUAAAUCCUUUGCCAUGCCGUUUGCUCGAGGAUCGGAUCGGCUCGCCACCGUCUGCCAAAACGCAUUUUCCUUUGCGGAAAAA